rnacentral:tRNA from 1 species
GCCUGGUUGGCUCAGUCGGUAGAGCAUGUGACUCUUCAUCUCAGGGUUGUGAGUUCAAGUCCCACAUUGGGCG